rnacentral:rRNA from 1 species
UUAAGCUAUAAAGAGCAUAGGGUGGAUGCCUAGGCACUGAGAGCCGACGAAAGACGUGAUAAGCUGCGAUAAGCUGCGGUAAGGAGCAAAUAUCCAUUGACCCGCAGAUUUCUGAAUGGGGAAACCUACGCAAGAAGACCUUGCGUACUCAUACAUGAAUACAUAGUGUAUGAGAGGGAACCCGGGGAACUGAAACAUCUAAGUACCCGGAGGAAGAGAAAGAAACAUCGAUUUCCUGAGUAGCGGCGAGCGAAAGGGAAAGAGCCCAAACCAGAGGAUUUAUCCUUUGGGGUUAGGACUGCAUAAUUGAUCUGCAAUUGAUAGGAGAACGGUCUGGGAAGUCCGGCGAGAAAGCGUGAAAGCCGCGUAUCCGAAAUCGAAAGCAGCAAGGCAGGAUCCAGAGUACCACGAGACACGAGAAACCUUGUGGGAAUGAGCGGAGACCACUCCGUAAGGCUAAAUACUACUCAGUGACCGAUAGCGCAUAGUACUGUGAAGGAAAGGUGAAAAGGACCCCGGGAGGGGAGUGAAAGAGAACCUGAAACCCUGUGUUUACAAGCUGUGGAACAUCUUUAUAUGAUGAACCGCGUACUUUUUGUAGAACGGUCCGGCGAGUUACGCGUGCCGGCAAGGUUAAGCACUUAAGGUGUGGAGCCGAAGAGAAAUCGAGUCUGAACAGGGCGUUCAGUCAGCACGCGUAGACCCGAAACCGGGUGAUCUACCCAUGUCCAGGUUGAAGUUGCCGUAAAAGGCAAUGGAGGACCGAACGCACAUCCGUUGAAAAGGGUGGCGAUGAGGUGUGGGUAGGGGAGAAAUUCCAAUCGAACCCGGAGAUAGCUGGUUCUCCUCGAAAUAGCUUUAGGGCUAGCCUCGUUUUAGUCUUAUGGAGGUAGAGCACUGAAUUUCCGCGGGGGCGUCAAAGCUUACCAAAGAAUAUCAAACUCCGAAUGCCAUGUAGAUGAUGAAUGGGAGUCAGACUGCACGAGAUAAGUUGGGUGGUCAAAAGGGAAAGAGCCCAGACCUACAGCUAAGGUCCCAAAGUGCGUGUUAAGUGGAAAAGGAUGUGGGAUUUCGAAGACAACUAGGAUGUUGGCUCAGAAGCAGCCACACAUUCAAAGAGUGCGUAAUAGCUCACUAGUCGAGAGGUCCUGCGCCGAAAAUGUCCGGGGCUGAAACACGACACCGAAGCUUAGGAAUCACAUAGUGAUUGGUAGAGGAGCAUUCUUAAGACCGACGAAGCUGUACCGGAAGGAGCAGUGGAGGGAUAAGAAGAGAGAAUGCCGGAAUGAGUAGCGAGAGGAAGGUGGGAAUCCUUCCGGCCGAAUAUCUAAGGUUUCCAGAGUAAAGCUGAUCUGCUCUGGGUAAGUCGGGGCCUAAGGAGAGGUCGAAAGACGUAUCCGAUGGACAACAGGUUUAGAUUCCUGUACCACAUAUAAACAGAACUGUGGGGACGCAUGUGGAAAGCAUAAGCCGGGAAUGGAAAUACCGGUACAAACGGAAGAGGUGUCAGGCUGGCAAAUCCGCCUGGCAAGCCAAAGACGUGAUGUGGAGCGAAAUAAAAGUAGCGAAGUAUGUGAGCCAUGUGCCGAGAAAAGCCGCUAUUGUUUUAUAUGUGCCCGUACCGUAAACCGACACAGGUGGAUGAGGAGAGAAUCCUAAGGCCGACGGAAGAAGCAUUGUUAAGGAACUCGGCAAAAUGACCCCGUAACUUCGGGAGAAGGGGUGCCCACUUCAGGGUGGGCCGCAGAGAAUAGGCUCAAGCAACUGUUUAGCAAAAACACAGGUCUAUGCGAAACCGAAAGGUGAAGUAUAUGGGCUGACGCCUGCCCGGUGCUGGAAGGUUAAGAGGAGAGGUUAGCGCAAGCGAAGCUUUGAAUUUAAGCCCCAGUAAACGGCGGCCGUAACUAUAACGGUCCUAAGGUAGCGAAAUUCCUUGUCGGGU